CGAACCACACGUGUGUGCCGCAAAGACGGGCCUGUCUCAGCCCACUUCCCGUCGCCACCCCAGCGGCCUGAGAUGCCGCCGCCUGGCUCGGGCCUUUCCUCAGGCCCUACCGGCCGCUCCACGUGGGGCGCCAAGGCCCCUCACCGCCUGUUCCCUCCCGCUGAGACACCACCGCGUCGGGGUCCCAUACCUGGUGCUGCUGUCGCCCCUGCUGGAGCACAGGCACACCAGGAGCCGCGAGGUUUCGAGCAGGAGUGGAGAGAAAAUGCGCGCUGGCAGCAGGGAAGGCGGUGGCGGCGAGAGAGGCCGAGGAGCUGGCUCCGGUCCGGCAGCCUCCCGCGGACCCCCGCCUCUGUGUAUGUCACGGUCUCUAUGGAGAUCCCCCGCAGAGGACAGAGGGAGCCUCUCCAGGCGCUGCUUAGGCCUAACGCGACCGCCGGCUGAUGGGGAUUCUUCCGUCGCCCUAGCCGUAGCUGCCGCAGUUGAAGCCGCCGGCGCCGCCCGCCUACCCCUCCCCUCUGCGCACAGCGCCCGCCCCGCCGUCGUCGUCGUCCCUGCAGUCGCCGCCGCUAUUGCGCCUAUUGCCGCUGCUAAGGCCGCCGCCGCGGUCGCGAGCCAGAACGCCGUCACUCGUCAGCGCCCGACGCGCUUGCAUCAUCAUGCUGCGACCGAGUGAUAGGCCAAGGGGAAGGGAGGGCCGGUCGAGCCCGCGCUCUCGGCCGCGCGGCACGCUGGGAAGAGUAGUUCAGCGGAAGAACGCGAGUUCUCGGAAAGGCGGACGCGGAAGGAGAGCCGAGGCUCCGCGCAGAGGCACAAAGCCGGGAGCUCCAUUCUUUUUACUGCACUUAGCGGUAAACUUAGACUUUGAAAGAGGCGUUCAAAGUAAAAACAGUAACCUCCUUUCACUGUACUUUCCCAUCGGUUGGUAAAGCGGGCAGAUAAUAAAAUCAAAAACAGGAGCUAAUAUAGAGCAGUUUUUUUUAAAUGGUUGAAAAACAACGUCCGAGAUCUUUAAGCCUAAAGAUGAAUUAGAAAAUGUAGUUUCAUUACUGUCCCAUUAACAUGUAAGGGCUUUGCUGUCAAGCAGGAGGGUUGGAAUUCUGGCUCCACCAUUCUCUAGCUUGACCUUGGAUAAGUCAAAACGUUCUGAGCCUUGGCUUCUUCCUCUCUAAAAUGGGAACCAUAAAAUCCACGGUAUAGAGCUGUUGUGAUCAUUUCUGUAGAGUACUUAGUACCUGUCCUGGUAUACAAGAAAUGCAAUAAAUGGUUACCAUUAUUACCCACGCAGUCAGCUCACAUUAGAGGUAAGUGGUAGGUUACCGGUCAUAAAAGUAUACAUAUAUUUGCUCCGAAUAGAAAGCAUUAUAUUUAGGAAAGUUCCUAAGCUAGGAUCAAAGACUGAACCCACAAAGAAUAGAGAUUGUAGGAAUUGACCGUUAGAAAGGGCUUGGUGGUCACAUGGUCCAGCCCUUCCAUUCAACUGACGGGACAGGGGUUCAGAGAAUUCAGGUGGCACCUUCAAGCCAGGCAGUCAAAGCCACGACUAUAACCCAAUUUUUCUUUGAGAGUUGAAACAAGUGCACAAAUGAGUAGGAGGAAAAAAUCUGCUGAAAAAAAAAACAAAAAAACACACAUAGGCUUAGUGUUCCAUUUGAGACCAUUGAUUUUAAAGCUUAAUAAUAGCUUUGAACUCAGACUUAAUUUCAUAUCUAUCACUUACUAGCUGUGUAGCCUUGGGGAAGUUACUGAUCCUCUUUCUAAGCUUCAGUUUCCUCAUCUGCAAAUAGAAUGAAUAUUUACCUCAACAAGGUGGUGGUUCCGAUGAAAGCAUUAAUGUAUAUAUAGCUGGUAAUAACUGCUUAGAGAGAAAGCAUGUAAUAUCAGCUAUCAGGUACAAAUUAACUCUAAGACGUUUAUACCAUCUUCACCACCAAACUGCGCAAUUCAAAUCACUCUAAUAAUCAUGUAAGUCAAAUUGUGAAACCAAACUUACAGUACCUUGGAUUUUGUAGUACCUUUCAGCACCUAAGGAAACAUGCUGUAUCAGGCAUAGGUUUAUAGAGCAAAUGGCUUUCAGUGGUACCUCUGACAAUAAUCACCAAGACUAUAAAAAGUUGCCAAAUAUGACAGACAAAAUUAAUAUACUUCCUGUUUCCUGAUCCUCCUCCCUCCAUUCCCGGGGCUCCACCAGUAACUCCCCACUAGACCCCUGAGGUAUACAUAACUCUUUCCCCUGAAGCACCUCAACCUUUUUAAAUACAAUUGUUUCUCUUUCACAGUUCUUAGCUAGGUAUUUGCUAAUAAGCUAACUCAUGGGGAAGAUCUCUAUCUGAAUAUUUCUUUUUUUUUUUUAAGAUUUUAUUUAUUUACUUAUUUGACAGAGACACAGCAACAGAGGGAACCCAAGCAGAGGGAGUGGGAGAGGGAGAAGCAGGCUUCCCACAGAGCAGGAAGCCUGAUGGUGGGGCUCGAUCCCAGGACCCCGGGAUCAUGACCUGAGCCAAAGGCAGACGCUUAACAACUGAGCCACCCAGGCGCCCCAUACCUGAAUCUUUCAUUGGACUGCAUACAUAGAAGAUGAAACUGUAGCCCUAUCUCAUUUUCCCUUUUCACCCUACCAGAUUCAGAAUUGCCAACACAGGAGAGUGAACUGGCGGGGACUCAAAAAUCAUCCCUUUCUUGGUGGUUUGUUAUUUGAUGUGUGUGUGGCACAGCCUUCUUUUCCAAGCUUUGAAAGGGACAUGCAAAAGAGCUGGGCCAAACUAAGACAAACUUCAGAAUAGAAAACUGGUAGGAACUGGGGUGCCUGAGUGGCUCAGUCAGUUAAGCAUCUGCAUUCAGCUCAGGUCAUGAUCCCAGGGUCCUGGGAUUGAGCCCCACAUCGGGCUCCCUGCUCAGCGAGGAGUCUGCUUCUCCCGCUGCCACUCUCUCUCUCUCUCAAAAAAAAAAAAAAAAAAUCUUAAAAGAAAAUUGGUAGGAAUUGAGGAAGUAUGGAAACAUCCACAUCCCCUUUAGCCUUGGUCUCAAUUAUUUAUUCCAUUUUAUAGUUAUUUCUUUGAAGUAAAACAGUAUUUAAGGAAAGAAUAAUACAUUAUUCCCACAUUCCACAUUCAUGUUACUGAGUUAUUGGAAAUGUUACCAGGCUUAACAGCAAAGAAGAAAUAAAAGGCAAGAAGAAAUUCACAUUCAAAACUUCCUACAGCCUAAUUUUACCCUGAAAUAGUAUGCCUCACUGUGGGAUGAAGUAACUUCUUGUGCAUAGUUUGGGAUUCAAAAAUAACAUUGUUUCUAUGCUGAAAUUCAGUUUGGAGUUACAAAUCACCAAACUUAGAGUUCCUCAUACAUUUUUGGUACAGGACUCAUUCUUCAGUUAGGAAUUACUAGGAAUAGAAUAGAUUUUAAUAAAGUUAUUCUGAUUAUAAAUUUAAAGAAUCUGCCCUCAUUCGAACAUACAAAUGAACAUUUCUCUAACAGAUACUAUAUAUAAAUUGGAAAAAAGUAUCAAAUGACAUGAACAGUAAAAGGGAUUUUUGAAAUCAUUCCAGCCAUAGUAGGAAUUAACAUGAAGGGAAUAAUUAUUAUUUAGUACUUAUAAUUAGUCAAUUCCUAUAGAUGAUGAAUUUAAUCCCUAAAAAACCAGUAAGAUUCUGUAGUUCACAGAAUUGGAUGAUAUCACUCAUAAAUUUUGUGUUAUGAACUAGCUGUCUUUUUUAUUCAUUCUUUUCCUUAUUGUUAAUUUCUAUUCCCAUCAAUCUUUAGACCUCUGAGAAGUGAUCUUAAGUUUUGGGUUGUUUCAAUGAGUGUAUUUUAAUAGAAACUCAUUUCUCCUCUACUCGGUUUUAAACUCCAUGAAGACAAGGAUUUUUUUUUUUUCUCACUUCCAUAUCCUGAACACAGAGAACAGUGUUGAUACAUAGCAGUCACUGUGUAUAGACUACAGCUAAUCACUACCAAUGUCGACUGUUUCUAUUUUAUUGUAAUAAAUAAUACACUGAUGAAUACAGGUAAACUGCUUUAUAUAA